rnacentral:rRNA from 1 species
UACGUAGGGUGCGAGCGUUAAUCGGAAUUACUGGGCGUAAAGCGUGCGCAGGCGGUUCGUUGUGUCGGUGGUGAAAGCCCCGGGCUUAACCUGGGAAUGGCCAUGGAAACUGGCGAACUGGAGUGUGGCAGAGGGGGUGGAAUUCCGCGUGUAGCAGUGAAAUGCGUAGAGAUGCGGAGGAACACCGAUGGCGAAGGCGGCCUGCUGGGCAGUGGCUGACGCUGAGGCGCGACAGCGUGGGGAGCAAACAGG